UCGUCGUACGCGCAGUGUUGGAGCGAGCAGUGGCCGCUAAAAAAUAUUCACACGAGCAACGUUGCGAAUGGAUUGAAUGAACGCGACACGUUGAAGGAACGAAGGAAGGAAGGAGUGGAAUGACUCAAAGGCUCACCUUGGUUUAAACCAUGGUGUUGCGAUGGGUGUUGGGGCCGCUGAGCGUGGCCAUGGCUGAGAAGGCUCGCUACAGGCGGGUGGAGAGGGCCCAUGCGUUGGGCCUGCGUGGCUUCAAACACGCGUCCCAUGCCAUGCUCUACGCACCCAGCGAUGAGAUGCUCUUCGGCCGCAUCCCCUUACGCUACGCCGUGCUGAUGCAGAUGCGCUUUGACGGGACCCUGGGCUUCCCCGGCGGCUUCUUGGACCCAGGGGAGGCAUGCCUGGAGGACGGCCUCAACCGUGAGCUGCAGGAGGAGGUGGGCUGCACCGUGCGGCUCACGGAGGCAGACUACCUGUGUUCGCACAUGUGCCAGCACCCGCGGCCCAUCGUCAACCACCUGUACGCUCGUAAGCUCACGCUGACCGAGCUGCGGGCCUUGGAGGUGAGCGCUGUUCAGGCGCGGGAUCAUGGAGGAGAGGUGCUGGGGAUGGUGAGGGUGCCUCUGUACACCCUCCGCGGGGGGCGAGGCGGGCUGCCCCUAUUCCUGAGGAACCGCUUCAUCGGCAACGCACGUGACCAGCUCCUCUACGCCCUGCGCAAGCUCGGCAUCAUGACUCCCGAGGAGCUGCAGGCUGCCGAGGAUGCCAGCAGAGCCAAUUGAGCCGCUUGGGACGGAACACCUCCUCCCACAAUGCCGCCCGCUCACGUUGACGAGUGAAAGGCAGUUCUGGCAACUGGCUCACAACAAGACGAGCACACACAUGCGGUGAUUGUACAGCAGCGAUGGACCUUCGCGAUUUCCGCCACCGCUCCGACUCCUGCGCACGGCUCUGCUCGGCUAGUCUGGAACGUGGUCGAAACUCACGGUCCACUGGCAAACGAUAACAAGCCGCAUGUGCAAGAAGAAUACAGUGCAAAUUAGAAGCGUGCAGCGAAGAGGGUUGGACCUGACGGUCCUCCGGCGAGCUAAUUGCUUAGAGCCGCGCUGGGUCACUCGUCCACACAGCUGAGAGGAGAAGGAGUAGCGGACAAGAGGUGGCCACAAUGCAUCCUGGAACAACAAUGCUGAGCAACGCAAAGUGGCGAACGGCUCAGCGUCUGCAUGUGAGCGGAAGAGGCGUCCACGCGCAUGUUCGGCUGCCUCCCAUCGAGCCACUCAAUGGGGCUACGGCUGCGAGCACCGUCCCAGUGGAAACAUCGGCCUGUGGAACCUACAGCAGGGCGGGAUUUUUCCGAGCACGGAGUCUGUCGCAUUCCGAAGACCGCCGGGGGACUGGAGGACGAGACGCGUGCUCGAGCAAUGAACGGGAGGCGCUGCUUAAGUCAAAAACUGUUUUAGACUUGACCAAAGGCAAUGGCAAACCCUUGCCACCUCGCGAACGUUUUCAAGCCAUAGCAAUGAAAACCAUCGGUCAAAAGACGAAAUGUUUAUCAGGUAACCACGACUGCGUGCCUCCACAUGCACAUCAACAGCACUUCACCCAGCAUUUCCAGGAAGAUGACAGCACGCAAAAUAUCAGCGAGGUCAGGUCCGAGCAACGACGAGCCCUCGGGAAGAGCUCCCCUGACGAACAGCGCUGCCACAAUUCCUGCUCAUAACUCCUCCGCCGACCUUGACACUCUCGACGCAGCCAGGCCAAAUGGAACACGAGUGGAAUCCACGGGGAGCCACGGCUCGCUUACAGAACACACGGACGAAGGAACGGCAACGCGCGGAGCUGACAUGCGUACGAGGCGCUCCGUGAAAAAGCCCCUCAAAUCCUCCCUGAAGAAGUCCUUCGACUGGAAGGCCCAUUCCUUGAAGGGCGACAAAGGCUCGGCCAAACGGUGGGGCGGCGCGGCCGAAGGGCAGCGCGGGCGCGUCGAGGGAGGCGCCGAGCAGCGUCCCCGACACACAUUCACGGAGCGUGGGCAGUGCAGCCCGUGCUCCCCCUCCAGGCGUCAACGCGACGACGCCACGCCGGCUUGCCGGGCGCACGGUGGCGCUCGGCAGCCCGGCGGGACGCGCCGCCCGUGCUCGCUUCGCGUGGCUCGCAGCGUCGCCAGCGCGUGCGAGGCGUCCCCGAGGGAGGACGGGAAUCGCCGCGACGGAGGCUGUCUCCCGAGCGGGUGCCCAAGCCCCGACGUGAACGCUAACGGGGCCGCGGGGUGCGGGCCGCCGGCGGCGCGACCUUCGCGAGGCGUGCGCGGGGAGUUGGUUCUACACGAGCCGGGAGAGUUCGCCGGCGUGCCGGUGCCCAGGAUAACGAUGACGUGCGCAACUCCGCCGCCAGCGCUCUCGGCCACGGGGGACGGCGAGUUUGCCGGGCAGUAGGGUACCGUGUCAUCCAGCGCUCGACGUGGAUACGAAUUUUGACCGGUCGGUGCAUUUUACGCGCUGAAUGUUUUUUUUAUGUGGAAGAUGAAAGUGGCCAUGGAGAAGCUUGAAUGGGUUCUGGUGGUCACGACGCACGUGUAAAACCGCGCGUGUAAGAAUAAUAAUUUAUUUACGGUUUGUAUAUGGUGUAUGUGUGGUUGGGUCACGUGUCCCCUCGCAGUCGGCUCUGCUAAUGAGAUUCCAUAGGCCCUGCGAUGGCAAAAAUGCAUCGAUUCCUGAAUCCAAUUGUGAACACGGAUCAUUCAAAUGGAUCGAGUCAUCAACUACAAUCAAGAACAUUUUAUCAAUUUGCUACGCGAGUG